CAACCCUCAUUCAUGCGAUGUUACAGUCGCAUGAAUGGAUUUGGACCGUGUCGUAAUCGACUCGUCCUGAAAUGCAUUAGCUUGCGCUUUUAGAGUGCUGGGCACCGGUGUGAUAAUUAUCUGCGCCAACGCCUUUAGCCUCUUCUGUUGUGCUGCUUACAAUCGUCCUUUGACGGACAAUUACUUUUAAAG
rnacentral:misc_RNA from 1 species